rnacentral:rRNA from 1 species
CCUACGGGAGGCAGCAGUGGGGGAUAUUGCACAAUGGGGGGAACCCUGAUGCAGCGACGCCGCGUGGGUGAAGAAGGGCCUCGGCGCGGAAAGCCCUGUCAGCAGGGAAGAAAAUGACGGUACCUGAAGAAGAAGCCCCGGCUAACUACGGGCCAGCAGCCGCGGUCAUACGUAGGGGGCAAGCGUUAUCCGGAGUGACUGGGUGUAAAGGGGGCGGAGACGGCGCUGCAAGCCAGGAGUGAAAGCCCGGGGCCCCACCCCGGGACUGCACUUGGAACGGCGUGGCUGGAGUGCAGGAGGGGCAGGCGGAAUUCCUGGUGUAGCGGUGAAAUGCGUAGAUAUCAGG